rnacentral:rRNA from 1 species
GUCCGGGCAGUAAACGAUGUCGACUGGGUAUGCGCGGGCUUGACCCCGUGCGUGCCGGAGCCAACGCGGUAAGUCGACCGCCUGGGGAGUACGGCCGCAAGGCUAAAACUCAAAGGAAUUGACGGGGGCCCGCACAAGCAGCGGAGCGUGCGGUUUAAUUCGACGCAACGCGCAGAACCUUACCAGGCCUUGACAUGCCGCUGCGAGCGCACGGAAACGUGUGACCCUCGAGGGGGCGCACAGGUGCUGCAUGGCUGUCGU